rnacentral:rRNA from 1 species
GUGAGGAAUAUUGGUCAAUAGACGAGAGUCUGAACCAGCCAAGUCGCGUGAAGGAAGACGGUUCUAUGAAUUGUAAACUUCUUUUGUGCAGGAAUAAAGUGGGUUACGUGUAACCUUUUGUAUGUACUGUACGAAUAAGGAUCGGCUAACUCCGUGCCAGCAGCCGCGGUAAUACGGGGGAUCCGAGCGUUAUCCGGAUUUAUUGGGUUUAAAGGGUGCGUAGGUGGAUUGAUAAGUCAGCGGUGAAAGUUUGCAGCUUAACUGUAAAAUUGCCGUUGAAACUGUCGGUCUUGAGUGCAAAUGAGGUAGGCGGAAUGUGUUGUGUAGCGGUGAAAUGCUUAGAUAUAACACAGAACUCCGAUUGCGAAGGCAGCUUACUGGGAUGCAACUGACACUGAUGCACGAAAGCGUGGGUAUCAAACAGGAUUAGAAACCCCUGUAGUCC